rnacentral:rRNA from 1 species
CAGUUCGGAUUGCAGGCUGAAACUCGCCUACAUGAAGCUGGAGUUGCUAGUAAUCGCGAAUCAGCAUGUCGCGGUGAAUACGUUCCCGGGCCUUGUACACACCGCCCGUCACGCCAUGAGAGUUGGCAAUACCCAACGUACGUGAUCUAACCCGCAAGGGAGGAAGCGUCCUAAGGUAGGGUCAGCGAUUGGGGUGAAGUCGUAACAAGGUAGC